UACGGGGGGGGCAAGCGUUGUUCGGAAUUACUGGGCGUAAAGGGCUCGUAGGCGGCCAACUAAGUCAGACGUGAAAUCCCCAGACUCAACCUGGGAACUGCCUUUGAUACUGGGUAUCUCGAGUCCGAGAGAGGUGAGUGGAAUUCCGAGUGUAGAGGUGAAAUUCGUAGAUAUUCGGAGGAACACCAGUGGCGAAGGCGGCUCACUGGCUCGGUACUGACGCUGAGGUUCGAAAGCUCGGGGAGCAAACAGG
rnacentral:rRNA from 1 species